CUGGGAAUUUUGCGCAAUGGGAGAAAUCCUGACGCAGCAACGCCGCGUGGGUGAGGAAGGCCUUCGGGUCGUAAAGCCCUUUUAGCGGGGAAGAAUCAAAUGACGGUACCCGCAGAAAAAGCACCGGCUAACUCCGUGCCAGCAGCCGCGGUAAGACGGAGGGUGCAAGCGUUAUUCGGAUUCACUGGGCGUAAAGGGCGCGUAGGCGGCUUGGUAAGUCUGAUGUGAAAGCCCCCGGCUCAAUCGGGGAAGUGCAUUGGAUACUGCCGAGCUAGAGUACAGGAGAGGAGAACGGAAUUCCAGGUGUAGAGGUGAAAUUCGUAGAUAUCUGGAGGAACAACAGAAGCGAAGGCGGUUCUCUGGACUGUUACUGACGCUGAAGCGCGAAAGUGUGGGGAGCAAACAGG
rnacentral:rRNA from 1 species